rnacentral:tRNA from 1 species
GUGGCUGUGGCUGAAUGGCAAAGUGCUUGCCUAGUACAUGUGAGGCACUGGGUUCGAUCCUCAGCACCACA